rnacentral:rRNA from 1 species
GUGGGGAAUCUUGCGCAAUGGGCGAAAGCCUGACGCAGCCAUGCCGCGUGAAUGAUGAAGGUCUUAGGAUUGUAAAAUUCUUUCACCGGGGACGAUAAUGACGGUACCCGGAGAAGAAGCUCCGGCUAACUUCGUGCCAGCAGCCGCGGUAAUACGAAGGGGGCUAGCGUUGUUCGGAAUUACUGGGCGUAAAGGGCGCGUAGGCGGACAGCUUAGUCAGAGGUGAAAGCCCAGGGCUCAACCUUGGAAUUGCCUUUGAUACUGGCUGUCUUGAGUUUGGGAGAGGUGAGUGGAACUCCGAGUGUAGAGGUGAAAUUCGUAGAUAUUCGGAAGAACACCAGUGGCGAAGGCGACUCACUGGCCCAAUACUGACGCUGAGGCGCGAAAGCGUGGGGAGCAAACAGGAUUAGAAACCCCGGUAGUCC